rnacentral:rRNA from 1 species
GAUGAACGCUGGCGGCGUGCCUAAUACAUGCAAGUCGAGCGAACAGACGAGAGUGCUUGCACUCUCUGACGUUAGCGGCGGACGGGUGAGUAACACGUGGGUAACCUCCCUAUAAGACUGGGAUAACUUCGGGAAACCGGAGCUAAUACCGGAAAAUAUUUAGCUUCGCAUGAAGCAAUAGUGAAAGACGGUUCUGCUGUCACUUAUAGAUGGACCCGCGGUGUAUUAGCUAGUUGGUGAGGUAACGGCUCACCAAGGCAACGAUACAUAGCCGACCUGAGAGGGUGAUCGGCCACACUGGGACUGAGACACGGCCCAGACUCCUACGGGAGGCAGCAGUAGGGAAUCUUCCGCAAUGGACGAAAGUCUGACGGAGCAAUGCCGCGUGAGUGAAGAAGGUUUUCGGAUCGUAAAACUCUGUUGUAAGGGAAGAACAAGUACGUUAGUAACUGAACGUACCUUGACGGUACCUUACCAGAAAGCCACGGCUAACUACGUG